rnacentral:rRNA from 1 species
UACAGAGGUCCCAAGCGUUGUUCGGAUUCACUGGGCGUAAAGAGCUCGUAGGCGGUUUGUCGCGUCGGUUGUGAAAGCCCGGGGCUUAACCCUGGGUCUGCAGUCGAUACGGGCAGGCUAGAGUUCGGUAGGGGAGACUGGAAUUCCUGGUGUAGCGGUGAAAUGCGCAGAUAUCAGGAGGAACACCGGUGGCGAAGGCGGGUCUCUGGGCCGAUACUGACGCUGAGGAGCGAAAGCGUGGGGAGCGAACAGG